rnacentral:rRNA from 1 species
UACGGGGGGGGCAAGCGUUGUUCGGAAUUACUGGGCGUAAAGGGCUCGUAGGUGGCCAACUAAGUCAGACGUGAAAUCCCUCGGCUUAACCGGGGAACUGCGUCUGAUACUGGAUGGCUUGAGUUCGGGAGAGGGAUGCGGAAUUCCAGGUGUAGCGGUGAAAUGCGUAGAUAUCGGGAGGAACACCAGUGGCGAAGGCGGGCAUCUGGGCCAACACUGACGCUGAGGCGCGAAAGCUAGGGGAGCAAACAGG